AGAGUUUGAUCCUGGCUCAGGAUGAACGCUAGCUACAGGCUUAACACAUGCAAGUCGAGGGGCAGCAUGGGGGUUGCUCGCAACCCCUGAUGGCGACCGGCGCACGGGUGAGUAACGCGUAUCCGACCUUCCCGCGGCAGGGGCAUAACCCGGUGAAAGCCGGACUAAUUCCCCGUGGUCCCCACACAGGGCAUCCUUCGUGGGGUAUAGGACUCGUCCGGCCGCGGACGGGGAUGCGUCCGAUUAGCUAGUUGGCGGGGUAACGGCCCACCAAGGCACCGAUCGGUAGGGGUUCUGAGAGGAAGGCCCCCCACAUUGGGACUGAGACACGGCCCAAACUCCUACGGGAGGCAGCAGUGAGGAAUAUUGGUCAAUGGGCGCGAGCCUGAACCAGCCAAGUAGCGUGGAGGACGACGGCCCUACGGGUUGUAAACUCCUUUUGCGCGGGGAUAAAGUGCGCGACGUGCUCGCGCAUUGCAGGUACCGCGCGAACAAGGACCGGCCAAUUCCGUGCCAGCAGCCGCGGUAAUACGGAAGGUCCGGGUGUUAUCCGGAUUUAUUGGGUUUAAAGGGAGCGCAGACUGCCUGUCAAGCGUGCAGUGAAACGCCGCGGCCCAACCGCGGCCCUGCUGCGCGAACUGGCGGGCUUGAGUGGGCUGGAGGCACGCGGAAUUCGUGGUGUAGCGGUGAAAUGCUCAGAUAUCACGAGGAACCCCGAUUGCGAAGGCAGCGUGCCGCGUCCCUACUGACGUUGAGGCUCGAAGGUGCGGGUAUCGAACAGGAUUAGAUACCCUGGUAGUCCGCACGGUAAACGAUGGAUGCCCGCUCCCGGCGACACACUGCCGGGGGCCAAGCGAAAGCGUUAAGCAUCCCACCUGGGGAGUACGCCGGCAACGGUGAAACUCAAAGGAAUUGACGGGGGCCCGCACAAGCGGAGGAACAUGUGGUUUAA
rnacentral:rRNA from 1 species